UGGCGUGAUGGACGUCACACGUGUGAGUCAGACAGCAGGUGUUCAAUUGGGUCAACUCUAAGAUGUCUAUGACAAAUGGUUACUAUGCGAAUCACAAUAUUCGAAUAAUAUGCAAAAGAAGAGUAGAUGUGAGAGAGUAAAAUAUUGUAACGAGUUAUCGCCGAUGGGUUCGGUGAAUCAAUAUCGGUGUAUUCAAUCUCUUCAACACUCAAACACUACACAAAGUAAACAUAACGGUUCUAUCUAACUACUGGCCACGAAGGUCUACACUACAGUCCCAUUUAUAGUCUUACAGGCGUGGGAAAGGGUCAGUCGGCGAAUCCGAUGCAUCAGCAAUCGGAUGACACUCGAAUGACACUUCCGUCGGUCGUUUGUCUAUCCGUUACAGUUAUAACGGAUGGCGAGAGUUCUCUUACAAGGAUGCGUGAACGCUACAUCCCCUCUUCAGCCUGCGACUCGUCCCGAUCGCACUAUGACGACGAAGAACAAGGAGAAAAAUAAACAUAAACCCCAAAACAUAAGAGACACGAGCAAUUUUCGGUAAAAAAAAAAAAAUUUGUGCAAAGAAACAAUUUUUUAGCCAAAAGUUAAUGAAAACAAAUGAAUGCAAAAUUCAAUGUAAACAAAUGUCACAACAAAUGCUAGAAGGGUUACUGGUCGAACCAAUGGACAUAAAUGCAAAAAAAAAAAAAAAAAAAAAUUGUUUGUUGUAAUGGUGUGUUGAUUUUACUGAGGAACAACAAGCUUAGCCAAGAUGAGAGCAUUAGCAGCAGCAACUACAGGGAUAUGUGCUUGCAUGUUAGCAGGAUUCAUGUUCUGGCAAUCCAAUCAUCGUAUGCCGUCAUGAGACCAUCGACUGUGUUGGCCCACUUUCCAUACACCGCACGAUUCCCAAAUGAGGCAACAUUCUGGAUAGAAGUAUUCCCCAUGAACCUCACUUGGAUAUCAUAGGACAAUUGCGUCAAUCUACGAAACUGAGUUGAUCGGAUGGCAUUCUUCUCUGCCAUGGUUCCGAAGCCUCCCCAAGGGUUUAGGGUGUUAUUGGGACCAGUCAAAUGUUGAAUGACACCCAUAAACGCCGCACAUUCAAGAGGCCACAUCACGUGUACGUAACCCCAAUUGAACUCCCCGCAAUCUUUGGUGGCUUGCACGAUCAUCAUAAUCGCUGUCAUUCCAUGGAAUCUUGCUUGGGCAACCAUAUUCUUUAAUCCCAGGACCUGUAUAGCUCCUUGAUUGGCCAUAUGUUCAAACAAAUUGGCAAAUGCUGCGCGAUCCAUCCCCACAGUCAUUUUCCCGAACAUGGUCGACAGAACUCCUACGUCAGUAGGCCAUUGACAUUCCAUAUUAGUAAGGCCACACUGGGUGACAAAUUUGGCAAACUUGCGUGCAUUGGAUGUACCCGCGAAAAGAAGGGUGUACCAGAUGUACACAAUUCCUCCCUUCAUCCAGUCCACGUACCGAGCAGGAGCCCUUCUAACCCCACCUCCCACAGCCACUCGGAUGAAGAUUGCGACCUGUUCAGCGGUUAAAGUAGCACCCCACGUGGGCCAAUCGGCAGCAUCAGCAGGAGGAGCUGCCAUCACAUGUAGUUGACCCCCUAUCGUUCUAUCAAUAUUGGGAAGAGCAUGACAUGCUGUGUAUAAUGUGCGUAGCUCAUCUACAAAGAUGGCACUGACAGCACGACCACCGCGUGACGCUUCGCCGCUCAGGAGCGAUCUUAACAUCUCACUCAUAUGAAGACGAGCAUCUGCCUGAUCUAGAUACAUGUUCUCAUGUUGAAAAACUCCGCAGCACUCCUGAUAAUAGCGAUAAGCCAGCUCAUAUCCCUGUCAUGUUGAAUAAUAUUACUGCGGCGGGGAAGCUACAGUAGGGAAACGAAAGGGAAAGUGAAAAACUUAGCGUAUGUUGGAGUGUGUAAGAACGGAAUAUUUGUGUGUGUAAGAAUGGAAUAUUUGUGUGUGUAAGAAUGGAAUAUUUGUGUGUGUAAGAAUGGAAUGCGCUAGCGGUGGCGCUGUUUUAUGUGUAGUGUAUAUGGGAAAAAGUCUUUGCAGUGAUAGCAAAGCUAUAGAAAAGCAUAGAAGGGAAGUGAUAUAUAGUGGGACUUAGAAAAAUUUCAACUGUUUCGUUCGUGUACGGAUCUCUAAGAGGAGUGGGAGUUGUUGAACUGAAUUGGAAUACAUUACUAUCAAGGUUUUUCUAAUUUCCUUUUCUCAAUACUUUACUGUUUACUAUUUCUAAUGUUGUAUGGCUACCGAAUAAGAAUAACAGAUGGACUUCUAAUAAAUUCUACUAUUUCUUUCAAGUUUUUUUUUCGAUAAAUGUCUGCUACUUCAAUGGAAAGUUUUGCAAUUUAUGGGCCUACUGAGAGAGGGAACAACUUAAAUGCAAAUAUUUCAAAGAACACAGAGGCAAAAAGAAACAACAAAUUAUUUUAUACUUGUUAGACACGACAUUGCUUUAUGGUAUCCCAACGUAUGGAAAGUAUGUAAGAAGUUCAAUCGUCUAAAGAGGGUACAACAAAAAAGAAAAUCACGACGGCGACGUCAUUGUGGAGGCCGACGGGUGGUGGCUUGCGGCAACCCGUCUUCUUGUAGAGCUGCUCGGCGCAAUCGUCGGAUAAUCAGGUCGAAUCUUCUAUGUCGCCAAUGCAGGAACUCCCGAGAAUUGGUGCUGGGAGCCGGUGAGUCGCGGUCGCUGUCUGAAUGAUGUUGAGGUUCGCUCGUCGGUGUGGCGGAAGCUUGUGCUGGCAUCCCAGCUCUUGCCCCGGGGACGGUAAUCAGCAAGAUGUCUCCUCCUCUUCCGUCCGGAACAAGAGUAACCAAACGGUUGGCGUUUGUGUGGCUGGUCAUCUUCUUGAGAUUUUAUUUUUUUUUUCCGUUUACUUUCGGGUGUAAAGACGAGCGUGCUGUCUGUCUGAACGCUGGUUGUCGAGUUGCCGAGCAACGUGUUGUGUUGUCAAUAGCAGCUUCGGUAAGCGGCUGAAUUUCAUUUAUAUUAUUUCUCUGCGUAAGCGAAAUGCUUUUGCAGGGUUGGUGGAAGUCGGUGAGUGUGUUAAAGAGCGUCGUGUUUCGUCGGCGAAAACUUUGCCGUCCCCCCAAGUGUCGUAUUCUUUCGACGCAUCGGAUAGAGAAAGAAGAUGGAAGGAAGAUAUGUGAAAGAAGAAUAUAGAAGAAAUGGGGCGUAUGGGAGCUACCACGGAGAAGAAUAAGACCAAUUUGUAAACCUAAACUGUAUAUAGUUAUGCUUUAAAAUCGAACAAAUUCUACAUGUACCGAAAAACUUGUAUGCUGUAAUACAGAUUGCUUUUGUUCUCCCUUUUA